UGUGCCUUGCCCAUGGCCACAGCUGUUGACAGGGCGCGCUUUCUGCAGCCCAGUCCCUGUGAGGAGCCCUCAUGGGGCGCUUUUAUCUGAAGAGUUCCUUUGCCCCUUUAGACCUCCCUGGCUUAGAGCUGACGUUCUCCCUGUCAUAUCACUUACGCUCUGAUCAGAGGUGUUUAUCACCCUCUUCUUCUGAGUGAUAUUGUUGCUGUGUAAUUUACUUACUUGGCUGACUUCAGCUUGGAGGCUUGCACUUUGUUGACGGAGAUUGUUUCUAGGGAUUAUCUAAACCUCUUCUCCAUUACCAUUUUUGAAGUGAACAUUAUACAGCUUCGAUGCUGAAGUACAGCUCCCUCCAGCCUUCUCUCUCUUUCUGCAGCCAUCACACACAAGCAUGCCGAAGCCCUGUGUUGGAAUGGAUGGCUCCUGCCUGGGGGCCAUCAUUAUUCCCUCGCCACUUGCCUCAGCAAACCUUGGGGACACUGAAGGCUCCAGCUAAUAUUGAAAUGUCUUCAGCACAUUUGCCCAGCAGCAUGAAGAGAACAUGUGAAGGGGAGGCAGGAGUUGUAAAUAGGUGACCUGACACCCAGGCUGUGUGACCAGAGGCGAGCUGGUUUACUUUCCUGAGACUACAUUUUGUUGAUCCAAUGGGAAUAACGAUACCUACCUUUCUGGCCUCUCAGGGUUAUAAAACUGACAUGAAAUAAUAAAUGUGAAAGUAGAACUUUCCA
rnacentral:lncRNA from 1 species